rnacentral:misc_RNA from 1 species
GAUGAAGAACGUAGCGAAAUGCGAUAAGUAGUGUGAAUUGCAGAGUUCAGUGAAUCAUCGAAUCUUUGAACGCACAUUGCGCCCGUCAGUAUUCUGACGGGCAUGCCUGUCCGAGCGUCAUUUCAACCCUCAAGCACUGCUUGGCGUUGGCGGAUUGCGUGCCCUCGCGGCGCUGCAACCGCCCAAAUACAGUGGCGGUCCCGCUGCGGCUCCCUUUGCGUAGUAACUCACCUCGCACUGGACCGGGCGGCGGCCUGCCGUAAAACCCCAACUCACGAAAUGUUGACCUCGGAUCAGGUAGGAAUACCCGCUGAACUUAAGCAUAUCAAUAAGCGGAGGA